rnacentral:tRNA from 1 species
GUUUCCAUGGUGUAGUGGUUAUCACAUCAGUCUAACACACUGAAGGUCCCGGGAUCGAGACCCGGUGGAAACA